rnacentral:rRNA from 1 species
ACGCUGGCGGCACGCCUAACACAUGCAAGUCGAACGAAGUAGCAAUACUUAGUGGCAGACGGGUGAGUAACAUGUGGGUAUCUACCCUUUGGCCUGGAAUAACACGAGGAAACUUGUGCUAAUACCGGAUAAGUCUUUACGGAGAAAGCUUUAUGCACCAUUGGAUGAGCCCGCACUUGAUUAGUUUGUUGGUAGGGUAAUGGCCUACCAAGACUAUGAUCAAUAGCUGAUUUGAGAGGAUGAUCAGCCACAUUGGGACUGAGACACGGCCCAAACUCCUACGGGAGGCAGCAGUGGGGAAUCUUGCACAAUGGAGGAAACUCUGAUGCAGCGAUGCCGCGUGAGUGAAGAAGGCCUUUGGGUUGUAAAGCUCUUUCGUCGGGGAAGAAAAUGACUGUACCCGAAUAAGAAGGUCCGGCUAACUUCGUGCCAGCAGCCGCGGUAAUACGAAGGGACCUAGCGUAGUUCGGAAUUACUGGGCUUAAAGAGUUCGUAGGUGGUUGAAAAAGUUGGUGGUGAAAUCCCAGAGCUUAACUCUGGAACUGCCAUCAAAACUUUUCAGCUAGAGUAUGAUAGAGGAAAGCAGAAUUUCUAGUGUAGAGGUGAAAUUCGUAGAUAUUAGAAAGAAUACCAAUUGCGAAGGCAGCUUUCUGGAUCAUUACUGACACUGAGGAACGAAAGCAUGGGUAGCGAAGAGGAUUAGAUACCCUCGUAGUCCAUGCCGUAAACGAUGUGUGUUAGACGUUGGAAAUUUAUUUUCAGUGUCGCAG